CUAUUUUUACAAACAGGAUCAGAGACAAAAAUGAGACCUGGCACCCUGGAUGCACUGGUUACAACUGAGCUUACUCAGUUUAGAUCUGACUUUUGGGAGGAGUUAAGGGAAAAAAGUUGAGACAUUAUUUAGUCUGAUAAAAAAUAAGCAAACAUAUUUUUCUAAAGAGACAAGAUUUUUUUCCCCUGGCACUGAAUUUAAGGAGAAAUUUUGUAUGUCUGUGGGUUUUUGUUUAAGGUACAUGGAGUAAUUUAAUAAAUAUCUUAAAAUGUGGUUUUGUGAAAGACAGAUUGUUCUUCAAAUGAAUUUUUAUAUUAGUACACUGUGAAAACUAAGAGACUUGCAUUCCAUCUUAACUACAUGAAGAUUUCUGUAAGAGAUCAAAAUAACAAUAUCAUGUAUUAUAAAUUCCAUUCUCUAGGUAUUACCUAAUAUAGGUAAUAGAUUCUAGCUCUCACUCUCACCUACCUCGGAGCCAAAUUCAGAAUUUCAUCCUGAAAGGAUUCAAUGUCAAAAAUCCUUGAGGGAGGGAUGAAGAUCUUCAGACCCUCCAGAGCAAGGAUGAGGGGCCAGGUACGGGACAGAAAGCUCCAGAUGCCUAGCAAGGGGCAAACUGGGAAAACAAGAACCCCACCCCCAGGGUAGCCUAUCCUCCCCAUUUCAUACCACUAGUCAGGCAGCUUGGAACCCAAUCUUCCAAUCUUCCAAAGUAGAUCCAAAUCCACUCUUUUUUUUUUUUUUUACACUAGGCAGACAUAUUUGUGUUUAGUUUGUUAUUCACAUUUCUCACCAAACAGCAGAAACUUAAUCAAACUCAUCCAUUGGAGUUUGUUCCUCUUUCCAGUUACCUAUUUCUCUUUCCAAAUUGCUACAAAUCCUCUCUGCGGUCCAGGUUUAGUUUCUGUUCUCAACUGAGGAUAGCCUACCUCUUGUCUACAUUAUUUAAAAACAACAACCAACCACCACCACCACCACCACCAACAAAACCAAUAAACAAAAGCCUGGUUUAAUCAGUGGAGUAAUUUCCAUUUAUUGUUCUCAAGCAAGACUAUAAUGCCUUACCAACCUACUGAAACAUGACUUCUGCUUUUGGCGUGACAGUAGACCACAUACUCUCCUCUUACAAAACAACUAGAACCUACAUAAAACACAACUUUUAUUAUAUUGCUUAUAUAUCACAGCAAAUAGAGAACCUUCCAAAGGAGAAAAUAAAAAACCCAAAGAACCUCGAGUGCCUCUGAGAAGGCAGAGUUGAACAGGAAGCAGAUGAAAUUGCAGUCGAAAACCAUGUAGAUAAGAAGAGAAUGAGAGUCCAUAUAAUUAAUAAACUACAACUUAGACCACCAAGAACUUUGGAAAUGUAAAAUAGCUAUGGAUAAAACGUUUAAAGAAACAAAAGGCGAAUGUUAGGUCUGUUCAAAUCAUUGAAUCAAUACCCCUUCCCUGGAACUGACCUUUAGGCCACUUCACAACCAACAUUCCCUUUCCUUCAGACCACAGUCCACCUGCUAAGACCACAUUCCUCUUGCUAAGACCAUAAUCCUUCCCCUCCAGACCUUCCCAGGAUCUGGACCCUCCCAGAGAAUUCUCUACCCAGAAAAGCCUGCCUAGAGUCCUUUAAAAUCUCUGACUCCCUGUCUCUGGGUGCUGGUGCCAUUUUGGGGCUCAGCCCAUCUGGUUUUCCAGAUGACCUAAUAAAU